AUGCCGCACCCCAUCAUUCCAAAGAUGCCAGAGCUGCCACACCCUACCGUUCCAGAGCUACCAAAGCCUGAAUUUCCCACAGGCGUGCCAGAGGUGCCAAAGAUGCCUGAAGCGUCGCAACCCACCACACCGGAGCAACCAAAGCCAGAAAUCCCACAUACCGUUGUUCCUGAGGUGCCAAAGACGCUUGAAGUGCCACACCCUACCAUGCCGAAGGUAUGGAAGAUGCUCGAACUGCCACAUCCAAUUGUAUCAGAGGUGCCGAAGAUGCCCGAAGUGCCAAAGACACCUGAGGUGCCACACCCUACCGCGCCAGAGGUGCCAAAGAUGCCCGAACUACCACACCCAAUUGUACCGGAGGUGCCCAAGAUGCCCGAAGUGAAGGAAAUAUGCCCUAGAGGCAAUAAUAAAGUUAUUAUUUAUUUCCUUAUAUCAUGA
rnacentral:rRNA from 1 species